UCCCGUGUGGCUCAGUUGGUAGGGCAUGGUGUUUGCAAUGCCAGGGUUGUGGGUUUGAUUCCCACGAGGGAC
rnacentral:tRNA from 1 species